CGUACUAUUACAAAUCCCCACCACCACCUCCCUACAAAUACGAAUCGCCGCCGCCUCCUCCUUACAAAUACGAGUCCCCACCUCCACCACCUUACUAUUACAAGUCCCCACCACCACCUCCAUACAAAUAUGAAUCCCCGCCACCUCCAGUCUACAAAUAUGAGUCUCCGCCACCCCCAGUUUACAAAUACAAGUCGCCACCACCACCAUACAAGUACGAGUCACCACCACCACCUCCAUACAAGUAUGAAUCCCCGCCACCUCCACCUUAUUACUACAAGUCCCCUCCACCACCACCAUACAAGUACGAGUCGCCACCACCUCCUCCGUACAAGUAUGAAUCUCCACCACCACCAGUUUACAAAUACAAGUCACCUCCGCCGCCACCUUAUUACUACAAAUCCCCACCGCCACCUCCAUACAAGUACGAGUCUCCACCUCCUCCUCCGUACAAGUAUGAAUCUCCACCACCACCACCUUAUUACUACAAAUCCCCCCCGCCACCUCCAUACAAGUACGAGUCACCGCCUCCUCCUCCGUACAAGUAUGAAUCUCCACCACCGCCAGUUUACAAAUACAAGUCACCCCCGCCACCACCUUAUUACUACAAAUCCCCGCCACCACCUCCAUACAAGUACGAGUCUCCACCUCCUCCUCCGUACAAGUAUGAAUCUCCACCACCACCUCCUUAUUACUACAAAUCCCCGCCGCCACCUCCCUACAAGUAUGAAUCCCCGCCACCACCUCCCUACAAAUACGAGUCACCUCCACCACCACCUUACUAUUACAAAUCUCCUCCACCGCCUCCAUACAAGUAUGAGUCGCCACCACCACCAGUCUACAAAUACGAGUCUCCGCCACCCCCAGUUUACAAAUACAAGUCGCCCCCUCCACCUUAUUACUACAAGUCUCCGCCACCCCCGCCAUACAAAUAUGAAUCCCCACCUCCACCUCCCUACAAGUAUGAAUCGCCUCCUCCUCCACCUUACUACUACAAGUCCCCUCCACCACCUCCCUACAAAUAUGAAUCCCCGCCACCACCUCCCUAUAAAUACGAGUCACCACCACCACCACCUUACUAUUACAAAUCUCCUCCACCGCCUCCAUACAAGUAUGAGUCGCCACCACCACCUCCCUACAAAUACGAGUCACCACCACCACCACCUUACAAGUAUGAAUCCCCACCUCCACCUCCGUACAAGUAUGAAUCACCUCCACCGCCUCCAUACAAGUAUGAAUCCCCUCCUCCACCUCCCUACAAAUACGAGUCACCACCCCCACCACCUUAUUACUACAAAUCGCCUCCGCCACCGGAGUAUCAAUCACCUCCUUACGUGUAUAAAUCUCCACCUCCACCCUCGUACUAGGAGCUAAGGAGCAUUUGAUUUUCAGGUGAGAAAUCUAUAGAACCACAGUUCCUAGUUUUAACAAGUUUUCAAAUUCAU
rnacentral:lncRNA from 1 species